rnacentral:rRNA from 1 species
AACGAACGCUGGCGGCAGGCUUAACACAUGCAAGUCGAACGGAUCCUUCGGGAUUAGUGGCAGACGGGUGAGUAACGCGUGGGAACGUACCCUUUGCUACGGAAUAACUCAGGGAAACUUGAGCUAAUACCGUAUGUGCCCUACGGGGGAAAGAUUUAUCGGCAAAGGAUCGGCCCGCGUUGGAUUAGCUAGUUGGUGGGGUAAUGGCCUACCAAGGCGACGAUCCAUAGCUGGUCUGAGAGGAUGAUCAGCCACACUGGGACUGAGACACGGCCCAGACUCCUACGGGAGGCAGCAGUGGGGAAUAUUGGACAAUGGGCGCAAGCUUGAUCCAGCCAUGCCGCGUGAGUGAUGAAGGUCUUAGGAUUGUAAAGCUCUUUCACCGGUGAAGAUAAUGACGGUAGCCGGAGAAGAAGCCCCGGCUAACUUCGUG